UACAGAGGUCUCGAGCGUUAGGCGGAAUCACUGGGCUUAAAGCGUGUGUAGGUGGAUCGUUAAGUACCUUGUGAAAUCCCACGGCUUAACCGUGGAACUGCUUGGUAUACUGGCGGUCUUGAGCCAGCUAGGGGCGAGCGGAACAGACGGUGGAGCGGUGAAAUGCGUAGAUAUCGUCUGGAACGCCGAAGGUGAAAACAGCUCGCUGGGGCUGCGCUGACGCUGAGACACGAAAGCCAGGGGAGCGAACGGG
rnacentral:rRNA from 1 species